CCUACGGGAUGCAGCAGUGAGGAAUAUUGGUCAAUGGACGAGAGUCUGAACCAGCCAAGUAGCGUGAAGGAUGACUGCCCUAUGGGUUGUAAACUUCUUUUAUAUGGGAAUAAAAUGUUCCACGUGUGGGAUUUUGUAUGUACCAUAUGAAUAAGGAUCGGCUAACUCCGUUCCAGCAGCCGCGGUAAUACGGAGGAUCCGAGCGUUAUCCGGAUUUAUUGGGUUUAAAGGGAGCGUAGGUGGAUUGUUAAGUUAGUUGUGAAAGUUUGCGGCUCAACCGUAAAAUUGCAGUUGAAACUGGCAGUCUUGAGUACAGUAGAGGUGGGCGGAAUUCGUGGUGUAGCGGUGAAAUGCUUAGAUAUCACGAAGAACUCCGAUUGCGAAGGCAGUUCACUGGACUGCAACUGACACUGAGGCUCGAAAGUGUGGGUAUCAAACAGGAUUAGAUACCCGAGUAGUC
rnacentral:rRNA from 1 species